UACUCUCCCGGCCCAGGUGGAUGCAUGAACUCGAGUCAUGCAGGUCACGGGCGCUCUCCUUGCAGGCUGGACGAGCCAGAAGGCGGCUUUUCCUUUUAACCAUGCAAAACAUAGAUAUAUACUCUUAUGAUGAUAGGCAGUAUGCAGUAAAUGAAAAUGGUGAUGAGCACACCACAUACGCAAAGUUUAGGGUUUUACAUGCUUUUGACUAUCUGUGUAGCUAUGAAUGAAGACAUAGAUAGCAAAGAAGGGCAUGUAAAACUAAAAGCUAGUUUAUCUGUCUUUUUAGCUAGAGAACAGAAAAGGGCUCUUACAUUUACAAUGUAAACUACUCAAGGAUCCAUCUUAUUUUUACUGGAAUCAUUUU